CUCAUUGGUCCAAAUUGUUUAUACAUUGAACCUGAAAUAGGAUACUUGGCCCAGUUUUAUUGCAAGGAAUUCUAACUGGUCAACCACAGGCUAGGGCUGGGUUAUAAAACUACAUCCUGUCCCUUUGUUCUGAGGAGAGAAUCACAGGACAGAAUCACAGUUCAAGUAUUGUGGAGAGGAAGGCAGGCUGGGCAGUAACUACAAUGGACAAUGUGAUAGUGACAGGCACGUUAGAUUUGAGAAAAGCAGACGUUCACUUCAUGAGUGACACAAUGCUUAACUAUUGCAUACUACUCUCUAAUGCAGUAGGGGAAGCAGACAGACAAGUAAAAUAGGCGUGGGGAAUAACUCCCGAGGGGGCACAUGACGUAGUGCCAGGACAGUGGGUGAUGGUAAAAAACUAUAUAAGAAACAUUCUAGCCAAAAUGGGAAGGUCCUUAUCAAGUUUUGCUCAUAACGAGGUCAGCAGUAAAAGUCCAGGGAACAUCGCGAUGGAUACAUGUCACUCAUUACAAGGUUGUCCAUUUUGAUGACACGGGAGAUUGAUUAGCAACCAGGGGCGAAUCUCGGGUGAAGAAGCAUAGUUAUACGAAUAUAUUGUCUGAAGCUGCAGUAAUAUCCCUUGACCCAAGGACUGUACCUGAAACGACACAAGAUCACCGGUGAAGUGUUCAUUAGAGAAGUCCUUAUCAACCAGCGGAAUGGAAGAAGAAUUCCUCACUACCGGCAGACUGUCAGAACAUAAUCAUUAAUAGUUCUCCAUUUGGGACUGAUACCAGUGUGGAAGAGCUGGUCACUUUUAAAGGACUUGGUGAAUGAUUACCUUGUCUACAAGAAAAUAAUAUUCAAUCGUACUAUUGGCAAUCAUUUUUUUGUGAGUUUCCUCCUAAUACAGGAUGUGGUAGGAAUCGUAAGGGACAUCAUCAUUACACCUGUUUAAUGAAUUGUUUGAAAUCAAUUUCUUAUUGUAAAAAGUCAAAUAUGCCCUUUGUGUUUUAUAGAAAUGCAAUGUGUUUAAUGUAAAUUAUUUUAUGUUUAAUGCUAAUGUUUUUUUAUUCAUGUUUUCUAAAAAUACAUUUGAAGUAUAUAUAUUUUUUUAAAUGGUCUAGCGGGGAGUGUAAGAAGAUUUCCAAGUUCUCAUUGGUCCAAAUUGUUUAUACAUUGAACCUGAAAUAGGAUACUUGGCCCAGUUUUAUUGCAAGGAAUUCUAAUUGGUCAACCACAGGCUAGGGCUGGGUUAUAAAACUACAUCCUGUCCCUUUGUUCUGAAGAGAGAAUCACAGGAGAAAAUCACUGAGGACAGGGGAGAAAGAACAUCUACCUCCCGCAUGAUUUGUCCUAUUUGAAUAAACCUAUUUUCCUCCCCCGA